rnacentral:rRNA from 1 species
UACGAAGGGGGCUAGCGUUGUUCGGAAUCACUGGGCGUAAAGCGCACGUAGGCGGGUUCUUAAGUCGGGUGUGAAAGCCCCGGGCUCAACCUGGGAAUUGCAUUCGAGACUGAAUAGCUAGGGUACGGUAGAGGGAAGCGGAAUUUCCGGUGUAGCGGUGAAAUGCGUAGAUAUCGGAAGGAACAUCAGUGGCGAAAGCGGCUUCCUGGACCAGUACCGACGUUCAGGCACGAAAGCGUGGGGAGCAAACAGG